rnacentral:rRNA from 1 species
CUACGGGUUGCUCCAGUGGGGAAUAUUGCACAAUGGACGAAAGUCUGAUGCAGCAACGCCGCGUGGAGGAUGACACAUUUCGGUGCGUAAACUCCUUUUAUAUAGGAAGAUAAUGACGGUACUAUAUGAAUAAGCACCGGCUAACUCCGUGCCAGCAGCCGCGGUAAUACGGAGGGUGCAAGCGUUACUCGGAAUUACUGGGCGUAAAGAGCGUGUAGGCGGGUUUGUAAGUUGGAUGUGAAAUCCUAUGGCUCAACCAUAGAACUGCAUCCAAAACUGCUUACCUAGAAUAUGGGAGAGGUAGAUGGAAUUUCUGGUGUAGGGGUAAAAUCCGUAGAGAUCAGAAGGAAUACCGAUUGCGAAGGCGAUCUACUGGAACAUUAUUGACGCUGAGACGCGAAAGCGUGGGGAGCAAACAGGAUUAGAUACCCGCGUAGUC